rnacentral:lncRNA from 1 species
UAGGACUGCGUUAGGAGAAGAGAAGGAUUGCACACGAGUUCUGAGUUUGUCUCAAAAUUUUUGUGUUAAUUGUGUAUUAUUCUCCCCUUUGCAUUGUUUAAUCGUAUUUGUUCUGUCCAUUGGUGUUGGGUAAUACAAUACUUAUCCCUGGAAUUGACUUUGGAUAAAUUUAUCAGACAUUCUCUAUGGACAAGUGUCUUUUCUAUACUUGACUCUGGCAGUAAUGGUUGUCUACUAUACGACGACCGGUUGCCAUUAACCAUAAAGUUGAAGUU